rnacentral:rRNA from 1 species
UACGUAGGGCGCAAGCGUUUGUCCGGAAUUAUUGGGCGUAAAGAGCUCGUAGGCGGCUUGUCACGUCGGGUGUGAAAGCCCGGGGCUUAACCCCCGGGUCUGCAGCUGAUACGGGCAGGCUUGAGUUCGGUAGGGGAGACUGGAAUUCCUGGUGUAGCGGUGAAAUGCGCAGAUAUCAGGAGGAACACCGGUGGCGAAGGCGGGUCUCUGGGCCGAAACUGACGCUGAGGAGCGAAAGCGUGGGGAGCGAACAGG